rnacentral:rRNA from 1 species
UACGUAGGUGACUAGCGUUGUCCGGAUUUACUGGGCGUAAAGAGCGCGCAGGCGGUCGUUCAAGUCGAGUGUGAAAGCCCCCGGCUCAACUGGGGAGGGUCAUUAGAUACUGAUCGACUCGAAGGCAGGAGAGGGAAGUGGAAUUCCCGGUGUAGUGGUGAAAUGCGUAGAUAUCGGGAGGAACACCAGUGGCGAAGGCGACUUCCUGGCCUGUUCUUGACGCUGAGGCGCGAAAGCUAGGGGAGCAAACGGG